rnacentral:rRNA from 1 species
GGACGCGAGCGUUAUCCAGAUUUACUGGGCGUAAAGCGUGUGUAGGCGGCGUGACAAGUUGGGCGUGAAAGCGCCGUGCUCAACGCGGGGAGGCCGCACAAUACUGUCAGGCUAGAGGGCAUCAGAGGGGUGUGGAAUUCCCGGAGUAGCGGUAAAAUGCGCAGAUAUCGGGAGGAACACCGGUGGCGAAAGCGGCACCCUGGGGUGCACCUGACGCUGAGAGACGACAGCUAGGGGAGCGAACAGGAUUAGAGACCCUGGUAGUCCUAGCCGUAAACGAUGGAUGCUAGGUGUGGGAGUGAAGAACUUCUGUGCCGCAGCGAACGCGAUAAGCAUCCCGCCUGGGGAGUACGGCCGCAAGGUUAAAACUCAAACGAAUUGACGGGGACCCGCACAAGCAGCGGAGCGUGUGGUUUAAUUCGAUGCUACACGAAGAACCUUACCUGGGAUUGACAUAUGGGUGGUAGUGAGCCGAAAGGCAAGCGACCCUUCGGGGAGCCUAUACAGGUGCUGCAUGGCUGUCGUCAGCUCGUGCCGUGAGGUGUCGGGUUAAGUCCCGUAACGAGCGCAACCCCUGUCCUUAGUUACAAGUGUCUAAGGGGACUGCCGGCGGGAAGCCGGAGGAAGGUGGGGAUGACGUCAAGUCAGCAUGGCCCUUAUAUCCAGGGCGACACACACGCUACAAUGGUCGGUACAGAGGGCAGCGAAGCCGCGAGGUGGAGCGAAACCCAGAAAGCCGGUCGUAGUUCGGAUUGCAGGCUGCAACUCGCCUGCAUGAAGUU